rnacentral:rRNA from 1 species
AUGUACAUUCCUACAACAUACCAUUAAUACACCAAAUCCCAUUAUAACUUUGCACUUGAGUGCGCUCAGGAUAGAGUAGUACUGGGAUGGGUGACCACCCAAGAAGUCGUAGUGUUUUACAUG